ensembl:lncRNA
UAAAAUUGUCGAGGGUGGUGCCCUUGCGCUUACAACAGCAUCAUAGACCCCAGAGAUGCCGUCUCGAUCUAUCUCUGUGGACGCGCUUUUCCUAGAUAUUGUAGCGGGCUAGCAGCAAAGUGUAGGUAAGAAAGUGUAGUGUAAGUCUAGCAUAGAAUUUUAAAGGAAAUAUAAAUGACAACUAAUAUCGCCGCUAGGACAGUCUAUAUUUGGACCUCGUAGGUGUGUGUGCUCUUGUCCCUGUCAGGAAGGUGUGGCCAAUAGCCAGUCCAUGUGGAGCAGGCACAGAGAAGAGGACAACCAGAACUAACUGAGACAGAUUGAUGACGUACAUCUAAACCAGACCAACCAGUACAUUUAGUCCCUGGACCAACCAGUAAUAUUCCCUCCCUGGACCAAGAGGAUUGUCAUUUCCUACAUGCUGAAAUCUGCUUUGGUAGAAAUACAAG